rnacentral:misc_RNA from 1 species
AGAGCUUGCCUACUGCAGUGAGCGUGUUUUGCACGUGCGAGUUGUGCAGAAGCCACGUGACGAAGGUGACGUGGUGAGAUUGAAUGUGAGUUUAGCCAUUCGAGGUCUUCGCACUACACAGCGAGCAGCUUUUUUCAGUCAACAUUCUGCUAUGAGUCGCCAUUCGGUUUCCCCUUCACACCAUUCGGAGGAUUCUCAUACACCUAACAAGAAUAAGCAGCAGGAACCCAUUGAAGGUUAUGAAACAUUUCAAUUAUUUAAAGAUUAUAUGGACUGCAAACUAAAGACAUUUAAACGUGACAUUAUUGAAGAGAGUGAAGAAAGGUCAUUCUCAGCGUUCAAAAGGGCUCAUAAAGAUUCAGAGAUUCCUAAUUUUAGGUUUAAAGGCAACCAACUUCAGUAUAAAUUUAAUACUGGUUGUUUGGAUAAGAUUGACAGUGCUUUCAGAUAUAUUAAGAGCAGCAAGUAUUCUGAUUGUGUGGGGAUUCUCCAAGAUCUCUCUUCAGAUAUCUCGAGGAGGAACAAGUAUAUCCGCUUAGCGGAUCGUUCUCCAUCUGGCUGGGCCGUUGUAGCUGAACUAGAGGGAGACGAUAUUGCCUCUGGGUCCGAGGAAGAACGUAGAUUCGAGAAAGCUGAGAAUAAAGCCCUCCGUAAACGACGUGCGUCCUCGUUCCGGUCCAGAGGAAAACCUAGCUAUGUUUCACCUAGCGCUACUGUCUCUUCUGCUAGCAUGGUUGAUGCUUCUAGGGACUCUACAGCCGGUCAGAACCAGCCUUUUCGUCCCAUGGUCAAACGAGGUCCAUCUCCCAACCAACAGUGCUACUUCUGUGGAGGUUUCGGCCACUGGAGGAUCUCCUGUCCUGCGGCAGCUUUACUACGUGCAGCCCAGUCAGCCAGCUCCGAUUCAAUACAGUCCAACCAAGUUGUCAAGAAGUAGAGAAUUCACUUCAGGUAAUUGUGUUUCUGUAAUAUCUGAAGUUGUUCCUUUUAGUCAAUUGAACAGUGUGUAUCUUUCCUGAGAGAUUCUUUAAAAUUGUUUUAGGUCGAGUUUCUGCGGGAAGUUGCAGUUCCGAUGUUCAGGUGCCAGCAGUCCAUGAAACCAAGAUACGACAGAGGGAUGCUACCUGUGCUUCAGAUUUUGACAUUGAUAAUUCAGCAGGUUUAGGAGAUCGUGGGUACCGGAUACGGAGGCAGUUGAUGCAUUUACUCAGCAGUGGC